GUGCUUGCUUUGGCAGCACAUAUCUGAAAAUUGGAAUGAUACAGAGAAGAUCAGCAUGGCCCCUGUGCAAGGAUGCAUGCAAAUUCGUGAAACAUUUCAUAUAUAU
rnacentral:snRNA from 1 species